rnacentral:rRNA from 1 species
GACGAACGCUGGCGGCGUGCUUAACACAUGCGAGUCGAACGGAAAGGCCCUGCUUUUGUGGGGUUCUCGAGUGGCGAACGGGUGAGUAACACGUGAGUAACCUGCCCUUGACUUUGGGAUAGCUUCAGGAAACGGGGGCUAAUACCGGAUAGGAGCUCCUGCUGGAUGGUGGGGGGGGGAAAGUUGAGGCGGGUGGGGCUGGACUCGCGGCUUAUCAGCUUGUUGGUCGGGUAGGGGUUUACCAAGGCUUUGACGGGUAGGCGGCCUGAGAGGGUGACCGGCCACCUUGGGCCUGAGAUACGGCCCAGACGCCUACGGGAGGCAGAAGUGGGGAAUAUUGCACAAUGGGCGGAAGCCUGAUGAAGCAACGCCGCGUGCGGGAUGACGGCCUUCGGGUUGUAAACCGCUUUCGCCUGUGACGAAGCGUGAGUGACGGUAAUGGGUAAAGAAGCACCGGCUAACUACGUG